CAGCUCGUCGGAAGGGCUCUCCCGGAUCCACUGGCCGCAGGGUUGAGGCUGCUCUGCUCGGGGACCCGUCUCCCCCACAACAGGGCAUAAAAACAAGACACAAACCCCAAAUCAACAGAGGAAAAACCUCCCCGCUAACAUCCGAGACACAGCACCUCCCCUUCUCUGGCACCGGCCUCCCGAAAGUAAUUGAAUCGUGUUGGACCGCAAAGUGCGAGUGAAAAAGGGGGGGAGUAUCUGCAUUUUUUUUCUCCUUUUUUUGUCUUUGUUUUGUACUGUUUGCGGUGUUUGGGGUGUUUCUAUGUCCUGCUGGGUUUUGCCUCGUUCUUUUUGCCCCUCUCUUGCUGUAAGGAGAGCCCGGGAAGACACCGAGGACAGCGAAGGCGAGGUGCACCCACACCAACCUGAAUCUCUCUCCUCCGAAAACACCGGCUCCGGGAGCUCAGCCUGGGCAGAGGACGGGGUGGGGGAUGCUCCUCCCGCCUCCGCCGGGGAGCGAGCCCAGCCCGCAGCCGCGCAUCCUCCGCGGGGCGUCUGUCUGUCUGUCCGUGUCCCGCAUGGCGCGGAGCGAAGCGCCGCCUCUGCCGGCCCUGGGGCCGCCCGAGCUGCAAGUGGCCCCACGGGCGCAGGCCGGCCACUGCCAAAAAUUACUUUAGAGAAAGCAAAAAACAAACAAAAAAAAGCUAUUUAUGUGUCAGUGAGCCGGCGGAAAUCAGCCGCGUUGAGCUUCUCCCCAGCCGGGCGGCGCUGGGGCAGGGAGAACUGGAAGGCAACAGUGAGAAGGACAACCAAGCCUGAACUCCCCGCAGAGAAUCAGAAGUCGGAUUUAGCUAAAUGUUCUUGCGGCUCGCCUUGUGGGCCGGCAGAACAGGCAGGAGGGAGUAGGAAAGAUCCGUAUCUGGGAGCCGGGCUGGUGGGGACACUCAGGGGUGAGCUCGGUAACUCAGACCGGCCGGGGAACCCCGACGCCCGGAAGGUGAAUCACCCCCAGCACCGUCUCUUCCCUACUUUCUCGUUGGGAAGAGGUCCGUGGCUACGGGGUUUAUAGCCAUGAGAAAGCUGCCGGUGGAGGGAAAGGGAGGCGGGCAGGGCUUUGCCCCGUGUGCUGCCCGAGCUGUGACACACGGGGAGGGACCCGGCGCGUCCAUCGGAAACAAUUGCGGGCGCGCAGAGCUCCGCGAUGACUCCCUCGGAGCCACCUGCCAGAGCCACUGCCGAGCUGUGAACCAGACGGUGUGUCACAGAGGAGCGGGGACAUGUCUGAGCGCUAGAAGACAGUUUUGUCUGAGAAGAGGAGGUGCCUCAGCUUCAUCUUCCCUUUGCACAGCGAGGAGGGCGAGACACAGCUGGCAUCUCAGGGAUGGCAGCAGCUCAGGGUGCGGCGAUUCCUCUCCCCUGCACGGGCCGGGUGUGCCCUCAAGGCUGCCAGGGAAAGGCGUCCUCUCAACACCCGGGCCAGGGAAGUCGAAUUCACCCCCGAAGUGCGGUCACCAAAUGCCCCGGGGAGGGGAAAAGGAGCGCCCCACAGCACCGGGCUCUGCUGCGCGCCCAGCCCAUGCCCUCUUCCCCUAGGCUAAAAAAAAGAGCAGGGCUGAGCCCGGUGCGAGUCAGGGCUGCCCACAGCCCCAGAGCCUGGCUCACGCCCCGCCGGCCGGCUGUGCUCGGGCCGCCUCGCUGCCAAGCGCCGCGGGGCACAGCCGGGCUGCGGGUCCGAGCCCGGAGAUUUAACCCCGUGUGGGGAGCGCUGGAGUUCGGCAGAAGGGAGAGAUCCUACCGGGAGAAGUGUGGCACCCAAGUUUACUGGGAAUGUUUAGCGGAAGGCCAACUUUAAAUCGAAUUAAUUCCCCACCCCUCUCGGCAAAGUAGUAAUAAAAGCUGGCAUUUUAAAUAAUCGUUACGGGGC
ensembl:lncRNA